rnacentral:rRNA from 1 species
GGACUACCAGGGUAUCUAAUCCUGUUUGCUCCCCUUGCUUUCGCGCAUCAGCGUCAGGUGUAAGCUAGAAAACCGCCUUCGCCACUGGUGUUCUUCCACAUAUCUACGCAUUUCACCGCUACUUGUGGAAUUCCGUUUUCUCCGCCUACCCUCUAGAGAUGCAGUUUCAAAUGCAGUUCCGGAGUUGAGCUCCGGGAUUUCACAUCUGACUUAUAUCCCCGCCUACGCGCCCUUUACGCCCAAUAAAUCCGAUUAAUGCUUGCACCCUACGUAUUACCGCGGCUGCUGGCAC